UACGAAGGGGGGCUAGCGUUGCUCGGAAUCACUGGGCGUAAAGCGCACGUAGGCGGAUCUUUAAGUCAGGGGUGAAAUCCCAAGGCUCAACCUUGGAACUGCCUUUGAUACGUGGGGAUCUCGAGUCCGGAAGAGGUUGGUGGAACUGCGAGUGUAGAGGUAGAAAUUCGUAGAUAUUCGCAAGAACACCAGUGGCGAAGGCGGCCAACUGGUCCGGUACUGACGCUGAGGUGCGAAAGCGUGGGGAUCAAACAGGG
rnacentral:rRNA from 1 species